rnacentral:rRNA from 1 species
GAAUUGCAGAAUUCCGCGAAUCAUCGAGUUUUUGAACGCAAGUUGCGCCCGAGGCUCGUCUGAGGGCAUGCCUGCCUGAGCGUCCU